GUGUCAAAGGAUAUCAAGUAUGCUGAUAAGCAGCCAAUAGUAUCCUGGGGUCCAAGGUAUUCUAGUUCAGAUGUUAAGGAUUUGCACAUCAGUAUGGCUAUAUCUGCAGUCUUUGAAUUUGGAGAGGACGAAGGUAAGGGACUGCUCAUGGGAAGGCGCAUACUUGGUUCCCUACCAUUGGUUUUCUGUUGUAUAGCUGUUUCAUCCUUGGGCCACACUGGUCUCCUUAACCUCAUCUAGCUUUUACGCGGUGCCAUUCCUUUGUUUCUCUACAAUAACCAGGUACUUCUCUACAACAUUAUUCUGAUAUGGUCAUCAGUUAGAGGUCUUUAUAUUUGCAUGGUUACAACUCACGAACAACAUCUUGGUAUUAAAUUGGGGGGUUAAUCCUACUUUUUCAUGUGAAUGGAACAUAAGUGAUAAAACUAUUUAGGGUGACAACGAGUCAAGUUUGUAUGGAUCAUGAGCUACACAACUAUUUAGUGCCCAAAUGAGUCUAAAUUGAUUAGAUAAUUUGAGUUGGAUCUUCUUUUAAGUCAAUUAAAUAGGGAAUCGAUCAAUUUAAUCCUUUUGGAAUUUGAUAGUGGGCCAGUAUUGUAGUGCGUUUAUACCAAUGUUUUUUUCGAUACUAUCAAUAUUAUUUGAUAUCCUAAAUAAUAUUUUAAAUAUGUUUACUCAGAGAAGAUAAACAGUGUAUGGUUUUUUUUGGCUAUAAUGGUGUAUCCGAUGUGACUAUGUUCAUGCAUGCUAACCAUAUACAUCUUGAACAUUGAUUCGUACUCAUAAGCGUCAUUAGAUGGCACAUGUUGCAUGCUUGACUUGGUCACGAUAUGUGCAUACAUGGCCUGAUGAUGCCACGUGUCUCAUGAGGCUUACUCUGACGUAAUUGGCAGGAGCUGUUUGUUCCCCUGGCAACAUCAAUUACCGUCUGCAUCAUUGCCUCGUGCCACCGGUGAUCGUGCUAUUGUAACUCAAAAAGAUUCGCCAAGAGUCGUGCAAAGGUUUGUGACUCGAAAAAUAUUUUUCAAGAUUCGUGCAAAGGGCAUCGACGUCGCAUCAGUUCUCUGGGUAAAUCGAAUGAUGGAUACCAAUCCUUGUACAUUUGUUUAAUGUUGGAAGGAUCAACUUCGAUCUCUAAUCACGUCUAUAUCAUUUGUAGUUCAUUUCAAUUUGGGUGGAGGACAAAGUCUAAGAGCGUAAUCAGCGAUGUGGUCUUUAUCCUCUCUGUUAAAUUGCAUGAGGAUAUGGAUCCACUGGCCAUCUCAAGUGUUAAUCGAUCUGACUUAAUUCGGAUCUAAUGUGUUGAAAAACGAGAAUGAAUUGUAUGAAUCCAUCAGCUUAUACAAAAGGUUACUUAUAUAUCUUUAAUUUAAAUUUUUUU